GGGCAUAUGGUGUAGGGGUUAUCACGCAUUCUUAGCAUUUCUGAAGAAUUCGCAAUCUGGAUGAGGUCCCCGGUUCAAUUCCGGGUAUGUCCA
rnacentral:tRNA from 1 species